rnacentral:misc_RNA from 1 species
GUAUAGAUUUUAUAGUCACAACAUUCUAUUAACAUACAUUGGUGUAAAUGAAAAGGCAACAUAGACCUGUAAGGUCUACAAAAGGUGCACAGGUGGAGAUAUAAAGAUGACAAGGUGUGCACAUGCUCCCUAGAGAACCAGCAACAACCCAUCAGGUUUAUUUCAAUAAUGAUCCUUCCGCAGGUUCACCUACGGAAA